rnacentral:rRNA from 1 species
AACGAACGCUGGCGGCAGGCCUAACACAUGCAAGCCGAACGCUGUAGCAAUACAGAGUGGCAGACGGGUGAGUAACGCGUGGGAACCUACCCUUUGGUUCGGAAUAGCUCAGGGAAACUUGAGGUAAUACCGGAUAAGCCCUUCGGGGGAAAGAUUUAUCGCCAAAGGAUGGGCCCGCGUCGGAUUAGCUAGUUGGUGGGGUAACGGCCUACCAAGGCGACGAUCCGUAGCUGGUCUGAGAGGAUGAUCAGCCACACUGGGACUGAGACACGGCCCAGACUCCUACGGGAGGCAGCAGUGGGGAAUAUUGGACAAUGGGGGCAACCCUGAUCCAGCCAUGCCGCGUGAGUGACGAAGGUCUUCGGAUUGUAAAGCUCUUUUGGCGGGGAAGAUAAUGACGGUACCCGCAGAAUAAGCCCCGGCUAACUUCGUGCCAGCCGCCGCCGUAA